GCCUAAAUAAACUUGUUUUAAGUCUCUAUACAUAACAAUGAAGAGGGAAAAAUGUGUCUUCAAAAAUGAGGAGAGCCAAGAAUCUGUUUUCUCUUUUUGGUCAAAGAUCUGGCUGUCACAUUUUAAGAACAACUGUAAGAUAACUAAAUAUACAGCAUGCCACUCCAUUCCUCUGCCCCCUCAAAAGAGGAAUACCGUGUAUCUAUGAAGAAGCCUUUGGCUUUAGCACAUUCCCGGAGUUCUGAAAAGAACUCCUGGUGUGGAGGAGGGUGCUGGCGCAGCAAGGCCUGAUGAGGGAAGCUCUCCCAGAUCUUUUUGGCGACCCAGUGGUUGGCCAGGAUCAUGCAUUCAGCCACUGUCUCGUGGACUUCCAGGGGCUGCUUGGGGAUGAGGUCGUGAAUGUUCUUUUUGUCAUCUAGCUGUACGCAAACCUCUACCCCUUCCAGUUCCAGGGCACCACAUCCGUCUCGUUUAGCUCUGACAUGGCGAGCUAUGUCGGUCAGCUUUCCAAUUGCCCACACCAACUCCUCCAGCUUGGCUUGUCUGCUCUUCUCAUCCAAGUCUUUGAAUUCUGGAAUAUCAUCAACAACGCUUAAGUUUCCAUCCAGUAGUUCUUGGGCUGCUUCAUAGAACAGUUUGUAUGCUGAUCGAAUAAUGGUUCUGCCAUACCACACUUUCUUAAUUUCAUAAGAGGCUUUAUCCAGUUCCCACAUGAUGCUUACAGCAUACCUACAAAAACAGUAACAUUGACAACAUCACUAUUCAAAUUCAUCUGGCUUUUUUUGUUUUUUGUUUUUUUGAGACAGGAUCUUGCUCUGUCACCCAGGCUGGAGUGCAAUGGCAUGAUCACUGCUCACUGCUGCCUCAAUCUCCUGGACUUGAGCAAUUCUCCUGCCCAAAGUGCUGCGAUUACAGGUGUAAGCCCAGCUUUUUGGGUGGCCAAGGCGGAAGGAUCACUUGAGCACAGGAGUUCAAGACCAGCCUGGGCAACAUGUGAAACUCUGUCUCAAAAAAUAAAAAUAAAAAUGAAAAUGUGAAAUGACUUAUGUUCAAAGUUAACUCAGUACAGCUUUGUUUGUAAUACCAAAAGAUUGGAAACUAUCCAAAUUUCCAUAGAUAGUGCAACUGUUAUUAAUACGGAAUGAUCUCCAAGAUACCAUUAAGUUCUUUUUUAAAAGGAAGGUGCUAAACAGUAUAUAUAUAUAAAAUGCAACCAUUUGUGUAAAAAAGAUCACAUAUGCAUAUUCAUGUAUGUAUUAUAUCUAGAAAAACUAAUACGGAACUGGUAAGUGAGGGAAAGUGAUAGGGAGGAACCUUUCAUUAAAUACCUCUUGGGACAUAUGAGUUCGGGCCUAUAUGAUUCUAUUAGCUAUUCAAAGAGAAACAAAGUUUAAACUCAACAAAUGAACAAACAAAAAACUCCCCGAGUUCAUGAUCCUCAUGCCAAACAACUUCCGCCAGGGAAUGCAUAAGCACAAAGCUACAUACAUUUGUUCUCAGAUUUUAGCUGACUUUAAAAAGCCAGCAACAGAGGGAGACGCAGAGCCCCACUGCUAGCAGACAGAAGAGAGGAGGGAAAGGGCAGGGAAGGCUAGAGAAAUAAAGCUGCCUAAAGAUAAGUGGUGUGGGGUUGGGGUCGGGGGUGAGGUUGAGAGGUCAGAGGGGAGACACAGGGCUGGGGUGGGGCAUAGCAGAGAAGAAACAUGAGGCCAGAAGCAGGCAGCAUCAGGAGCCACAGAAGGGCCAGGACAAGCUUUGAAGACAAAAGCCAUAAACUCACCUAUCAACGCCUCCCAGAAGGGAACACAAAUCUGCACUGAGGACGGAAGGCAGCAUGUCAUAGCGACGAUCUGCUAGAUAAUAAGUGGUGGCCCUGUGAAUGACACACACGCGGCAACGCGACCUUUAGCAGGGAGAAGCAGAACUGCUGACUGUGUGGGCCGCAGGGAGGUAAAUGGCCAAAAUCUCACUACAGAUUCCCCAAGGCUGUUGCUGUUUCAUAAAGUGCAGCAGACUGGGUAAUAAAACUAUUCCCAUGGUCCCACUUUUCUAAGUGACACUGCUUUGGGCUGAAUAUUCUUCCACUGAUAAGAGAAAGAAAGAGCAAGUGACAUGAAUCUUUGUCGUAUAAGAAAAACUGGAGUGUAAUGAUCCAGUAUUUUUAAAAAAUAGUAUAUUACUACAUGAAAAUUUAACCCAUUUCGAUUUAGUAGGAAACAAUGUGUGAAAAGGUUAUGUUAAAAAGCAAAGGUAAAUUGAUCAAGGUACUGUUUUUCUAAAGGAAAAUGGAGAGUGGACCUCAACUUUUUUUUUCUGGAAGGGACCUUCAAAAUUGCACAAACAUGAGAUCUUUGAACACCUGAAACUAGUACAGACACAAAAUAUCCAGUCACAUACACACAACCAUAGAGCUGAUUUCAAAUAGCAUUACCUUGUUCUAGCUUCAAUAUCAAUGUAAGAAUUUGGUGCCACAAAGUGUGUUACAUCUGCGAUGUGGACCCCAAGUUCCAGGUUGCCAUUAUUUAAGGUUCUGACUGAGAGUGUGUCAUCCACAUCUUCACAACCUUUGGGGUCAAUGCUGAAUACGAGAUGGCUUUUCCUCAAGUCUUUACGUUUUUGUUCCUCUUCAGGACUCACCUUCCAGGGACUUUCUGGUGUGUUUACUGGCAUCUCACACAUCUGUAUGAGAAACCAAAUAUUCAGCAAUUCAUGCACCACAAAUUUCUGUAAAAAUCCACUCACUAAUAUUCUCAGUAUGACCACAUAGAAAUUCAUUCAUUCUCAAUUACCUUCUUCAUCAACCUAUGUUGGCUUCCUUUGAUCAAUAAUUGUUUACUAGGUGCCUCAGAUAUCCCAGGUACUGUGCUGGGCUCUGGAAAGUCAG
rnacentral:lncRNA from 1 species